UCAAUUUUAUGUUUUCUUUUUUGCAUCAUAUUGAAGCUGUUGGAUUAAUUUUUUAUGGUUCCUUCCUACUUUUAAGAAAUUUAUGAGGAUUCACUUGUCCAAUAGUAUUUUGGCCUAAAAAGAACCGUGCAGCUCUGUUACAAAGAAAGGUCUUGAAUGGUUCUGCUGUUGGAAAUGAAGUUUGCACACUUCAUUGCUGCAUCAUUCUUCAUAGAAGUUAGUGACCUGAGGUGCAGUUGCUUAUAACUGCAAGCAGGUAGAACUCCCAGUGAUUGACUAUCAUCUCCAUAGAGGGAACACAGUGUGCCUGUACUUAGUGCAGUAUCUGCCUGAUUGCAUCACAGAUUCAUAGAAUGGACAACUCUGAGACUUCUAUUAUUGUGAAGUCCCAGAGACCACCAGGAGGCCGUUUCCGAUCUGGAGCAGAAGAGAAGGGUGAAUACCUGCUUCAAAAGGAGGUUAUUGCCAUAAACAAUAUGUUG
rnacentral:lncRNA from 1 species